GGGACAUUUGAAAUCAAACAGGCUCAGUUUAAACGAAGUGUUCUCUCUCUGAGCUACGAUUUGCGCUUCGUGUUUUGUGGAUUUAUCUCUUGUUAGUUUUUCCUCUCUUUAACACACAAACUACAAAGGCUGUUAUUUUAUUUUGUUAGUAAAGCUUAUCGUAUUUUAGUGUUCCUUUUCGUGUUCCUUGUUAAUGAAGCUCAAACGGAAGCUACCGUUUGCUGGUCGAUGUAGCUGCUAAGUAGCCUGGGUAGGGUUACCUGGUUUAAAGUUGUUUUUAUUCUGCACAACAGCCUGUUGCGGUUGCUUUCGGACACUGUGUAAUAAUACAUUUAGAUCAUGGACUCAUCCACCUCGUUCAAAGUGAUAAAGGGCAUGAAACCCCAAAGGCCAGAAUUAAUGUCAAACGGCAACGGACCGAAGCGGGUUCCCGUGUCUCACCAUUCGCAAGCCUUUCAGAAGUCCGUAGUCACACCGACUCAGCAUCAGCGGGUUCUGGGCAUGUCGAAUGGGCCGCAGCGUAUCCAGCGGCCCGUUAGCCAGCAGAAACCAGCGCCUCAUGUCUCUGUAGCGGUCAAGCACCCUCCUCCUGCUGACCAGAAUGUAAACCCAGCCACUGUGAAACUAACUCCAGCACCACAGCCUAAACCCGUUUCCCAGCAUAACCAGCCAAAGACGCAUGUGCCGGCUGGCCACUCUGACUCGACCAAGCCUCCGUCGGAACCAGCAAAGCAGGAUAAGCCGCAGACCAAACCUGCCAAGACCAGUCAGGCCUCGUCAUCAAAGAAACCAUGGAGUCUGGAAAAUUUUGACAUUGGCCGUCCCUUGGGAAAGGGCAAGUUUGGCAACGUCUACCUGGCUAGGGAGCGCCAGACCAAGUUCAUCUUGGCCCUGAAGGUUCUCUUCAAGAAGCAGCUGGAGAAGGCGGGGGUAGAGCACCAGCUGAGGAGAGAAGUCGAGAUCCAGUCACAUCUAAGACAUCCCAACAUCCUUCGCCUCUAYGGCUAUUUCCACGAUGCUUCUCGUGUGUAUCUCAUCCUUGAAUAUGCACCCAGAGGAGAGCUGUACGGCGAGCUGCAGCGCUGUGGGAGUUUCUCUGAGGACAGAACUGCAACAUACAUCAUGGAGCUGGCAGAUGCGCUCCACUACUGUCAUACCAAGAAUGUGAUUCACAGAGACAUCAAGCCAGAGAACCUGUUGCUGGGAGGUAACGGGGAGCUGAAGAUUGCCGAUUUUGGUUGGUCUGUUCACACUCCAUCUUCCAGGAGGUCCACCCUGUGUGGAACACUAGACUACCUUCCUCCAGAGAUGAUCGAGGGCAAAACUCACGAUGAGAAGGUGGACCUGUGGAGUCUGGGGGUCCUUUGCUACGAGUUUCUUGUUGGAAAACCUCCAUUUGAAGCAAAAACUCACGAUGAAACCUACCGUAGGAUUUCAAGGGUGGAGUACAGUUACCCUCCUCUUGCUUCCAUUAGUGCCGGAGCUARAGACUUGGUGGCCAAGCUGCUGAAGCACAACCCCAUGCACAGGUUGCCCAUUGAGGGAGUCCUCUCCCACCCUUGGGUGCUCGAAUGCUCAACAAAGAAGCCCACGACUCUGAGCUCUGAAGAGAACAGUCAGUGACUGCUCUCCCAACAACUGGCUGUGCCCACACAGUUUUGCAGAACGUUAACAUGCAGCUGAUUUUUACACAACCUGCUUUGACUCUACAAAGAUUUUCACGAUGAGGAUUUUUUUUUGUUUAUGUGUCUCCCUACGACAAUAUGGAGAAGUCAUGGAGAGCGUAUAAAGUGAAAUGACUGCUAUAAAUCUGGGAUUUUCUAUCAUUUGGGUGUGCAGACAAUGCUCUUAACUCUGCAAGAUGGAGCCCAUCUGGUCGUUUGAUUCGUUUGCAGUUGCCGUGAUUUCCUGACAUCUCCAAAUGAAACCACCCGGAAAUAAAYGAAGGGCUCGUCCAGAUGUUACCCGCAUGCUCAGGAGGGAAUCAACAGAGUGAAUUAAAAGGAAGGCCUGAUGCCCGCCUGCAGCAGGAAACUGUUCAAGCGCAAACAUGCUUGCGCUGAAGUUCUCCAAAGACACGAAUGUAAAUAAACGUAGAAACUCUCUUUUUAAAAAUCUAAU